UUAUUGAGAUAUGAGCACGGGCAGAAAUUAAUAUGAUCCCUGCUAUGAUUACUUUGCUGACAAGGUUAAUGUUGACUGUGGUGACUCGUGUAUCUUACAGAUGUUGAAAAGGGUGGUGAAACGGUCUCCCCUUCAGCUGAGGUACUUUUGGAUGAAAGAUGCAAAAAGGAGUAAAUUGGAGGUAAUUGGCAGAUUUGACGUUUAGUCGAUGUUUUCUGCAAAGCGUGAGUUCUAGAGAUCGAAAUGAAGUGAUUCCAGUGGCACUAAAAAGCUAACAUCAAUACCUUUCUGGAAAUGUAAUGCAAGAAAAAUAAAGAGAGAUUAUGGAAAUCACAUCCUGCAAAGUCAAAUCUCGCAUUCUGCUAGUGUUGACCUUUGACCAUUCAAAAUUUAAUAUCUGGAGCUACAGAAGUCCAAUUGAUGCAAACUCAAUUUUCUUGGAUUCCUAAUUCAAAGACAUAUCCACGCUCCAAAUAUCAGCCAAAAACAAUGUCAUAUGAGGGAUAUAUGAUUUUCCAAAGAUGACAACUGAAUUCUGCCAGCAAACAGGUUUCGUGAAGAAAAAAUUCCAAAUUACAUUUCGAAGCAUCUUAACCGACAUCGAAGUUUUUAUUUCAGCAAUUUAGCUCCUCUAAGUCAGAGCUUGAAGAUUUCAUGCAAGGCUAUUUCUUUUCUUAGGGAAAAUAGUUAUUGAAGUACUUGAAUGUAAACUGCCAACUUAAGGAAGGACUAUUUUGUAAAAUAGAGACUAAGAUUUCUUAGCAUAUAAAAAGAAAGAGAGAAGAGGCAGCAGCCAACAGAAAAGAGGGAGAGCAGAAGGAGGCAGCAGCCAGCAGAGAAUAAACACAAAUUCUCUCCUCCACAAACCCAAAAAUCAUGCUCUUUUCAUUCUUUAAAAGUAGUUGUUCAAUAGUUAUGCAAGGCUAAGCUCUUUUCUUGAUUGUAAGGACACAACAAACCUUCAGAUUUCAAGAAUCGUGAGAUUUAUUCUUCCUUUUAUUUUCAGUUUAUGUUAUGAAUGAGUAUGAUUGUUUUCCUAUGUAUAUUUCCUAUGAUUGUUGUUGAUGAUUGCUAGAGCGGACUCUAAGUUAUUGUUGUGAACAAUCUAUUGCUAAGUUUAAUAUUAAAACCGGAGUUGUGAUAUAUGAACUUGUGAGCAACUAAGCUUGAUAAUUGUGGCGGAACUACGUUAUUGAAUUUAGGGAGAACAUUUGAACAAAGUGACACAAGCUGCGGAUAGCUUGUAUGUUAAUUUUGAUGAAAUUAUCUAGUUCUUAAAGCUACCAUUAAAUUGAAUCAUUAGUAUGGACACUUUGAUUGUUUAUUGGUUAGGAUUAGUUAUACGGCGGAUUCGUUAAUUAAUCAACGUUAAGAAAAGAUAAAAUUUCAGAACAUAAACUAUAAUUUUCGUUUCAAGGAUCGGUUUUAAUUUUCGUUGGUGGAUGUGUGCUUGCGACCAAGGUUUGUUUUCUUGAUAAGUUUCGGUUUUAAUUGAUUUUGUUUGCUAGUUUAAUUGCUGUUAUAGUUUAGAUAGUCACAAACCAAAUCCCCCCAAUUACAUAACGUACAACAUAAAAAUCUGACUUGAAACUUCCUCGUGGGAUCGACCUCUUACUUGCUCUAUACUAUCUUGUGUGUUUUAAGCUAGGGUAAUUAAUUUGUGCGAUCGCGACAUCGCAACAAGAUACAUCUUUCAUAUGGUCAAUCAAGAAGCAAUCGAUAGUAACGUUAUCAAGCUGUGAAGUUGAGCAUGUUGCUGCCAACUCAGCUGUAUGUCAUUUAAUAUGGUUAAGGAAUAUGCUGAAGCAUUUGGGAUUUCCUCAAGAAAAUCCUACAGAGAUUUAUAUUGAUAAUCGAUCAGCGAUUGCAUUAGCAAAGAACCCAGUGUAUCAUGAAAGAAGUAAACACAUUGAUACACGUCAUCACUUUAUCCGAGAGCAUGUGAAGAACAAAGAAGUUGAACUCGUAUCAUGCAAGACAAAUGAUCAAGUUGCAGAUAUCUUUACAAAGCCAUUGAAGGGAGAAAUAUUUAUCAGAUUGAAGUUCAUGCUUGGCAUGACAUCCUGAGUUUAAAGGGGGAAUUUGUUGUGGUGAACUCAAUCUAGAAGGUCAAGGAAAGCAACCACUAACCACCACUUACAACCAACAGCUGUCAACCGCCUCAAACACCACUUGCAGCUAGCCCCCAGCUGUGUGCCGCCAGCUGCCUUCACACUCGAAGUUUGAUUUUUUCUUACUUUCAAUUUGUGUAUAAAUAGACAGCUAAGUUUAUGCUAUUAUGUGUGGAGAGAUUAAAGAGAAACACUAGAGAGAAAGAGAGGGUUUGUAUUAAGAGCUUUUGUUUAGUUAUUGUAAGUGUAUUGUUGUUGAAAUAAAACAGUGUUUUUUAUCCCCUCUGAGUGUUUCAUGUUGGUGGGAGAAACUACUGGUGGUGACUUUAAAAUACGUAGAGGGGAUAAAACACACUAUUUUAUUUGAAUAAUAAUAAACUUACAAUAACUAAAUAACUAAACAAAAGCUCUUAAUACAUUGCCUAUCUGAAUGUGCAAGAAACGGAAUUGCAGUGAAACCACGUAGAGGGGAUGCACUUCUUUUCUUCAGUCAGCUGCAUCCAACUGCUGUUCCGGACAUAAGCAGCCUUCAUGCAGGGUGCCCUGUGAUUGAAGGUGAGAAAUGGUCUGCCACAAAGUGGAUUCAUGUAGACUCAUUUGACAAGAAUGUGGAUGCUGAUGGGAAUUGCACUGAUCAGAAUGGAAGUUGUGAGAGGUGGGUAGCCCUUGGAGAACGCACCAAAAACACUGAGUGCACGGUUGGGUCACCGGACCUUCCUGGAUAUUGUAGGAGGAGUUGUAAGGUAUGUUAAGGAUAUGCCUUCCACGCUCCUUGUAGGUUUCCUUAUGGUUGGUUGUUGGUCUUUGUAGGGGACUGUACUUGAUUUUUCUUUUCAAUUACAAUCCUGUAGACAUUGCUGAAAAUGAUCCAUCUUGGAUUUUGCUAGUUGUAUUUUCCUCUCUUUGUAGAUACAGCCAGCUUUCAUGAAAUGAAUGAAAUACAGAAAAUGCAUUUAGCGUA